rnacentral:tRNA from 1 species
GCCAGUGUGGCGUAGUGGUUUGAGUGUUGGACUACGGUUAUGGAGACCAGGGUUUGAUUCCCAGCUUGGCCA